GCAUAUUCAACACAUAUCACCAAUAGUCGUGAACACAUAUAUAUAUCCAACACAUGUUACCAAUAGUAGCAAGUUUCAUCCGUACAUAUACAUAGUUUCAUCAAUAUUACACAGUUUUAUCCAUAGGUAGCAAGUUUCACAAGGUCAAAACAAAAACUAAAUACAAGCACUCCAUGAACCUAAGCUUCCGUGAUCUUAAGCAAAUCUAUAAAAUGGGAAAAAAGAAAGUUAGAAGAAGAAGAUUACUAUGAUGCAACUAACAUGUGAAGAUUAUUAUGAUGCAACUUAUAUCUGUAAAAUAGGACUUGUGAUAUGUAUUGAAACAAUGCAAAUGCUUACUAUCACCAGAGCAACAUACGCACAUUCCUACUGAAAGUAAAUUCCAUGUUGUAAUUAGAAGAAGAAAAAUACAGUGGUAACUCAUGUCAGGUAGUAAAAUUGUAGACCCUCCCGUUUAGUAUGAGUUUUUUUACCAUUUUGAGAGAGAGAGAGAGAGUACCUCAGAAAUCGCAGAACAGCACGCAACAUGGUGUGCACCGGCCGACGUUUGCGACAUGGCCGUUAGCAACAACAAUCAUAUUAAAACUUUGAAAGCCAUGAAAUAUAAUUUUGAAAACUAAUUCAGGGUUGCUUUUCACAGUGAAAACUAUGCUCAUUGCUCUCGACAGAGAACAUGUGGAAGAUGAAAAAUACGUCCACACACAUUUGGCAAUUGCGACGACGCCAACCAGCUUUUAUUCAAGACAUGCUUCUAUAGUAUAUUUAGACAAAGGAAAAAAACAAUAGACAUCACUUGCAUACAUUUUGUAUGGGGCAAUGAAACAAAAUUACUUGAUCUGCAAUAUUUCUUUGGAUUUCUUUUUUAUGAAAGACACAUGACACAUAGUUUGCUGGAUGGGUCUAAGAUAAAUAUUUUAGUUAUAGGAGGAUUUUUUGAACGAGUAAUAGUAUUACCACCAUUUACUUGGUCUGUUGUGCUUUCGGUAGAGCUUUCAUAUUUCAACACAAAAACAACAAUUCAAGUUGGGACCAGAAUCGCACAAACAUCAAGCUCAAAGGAAAUAUCAGUUGGGAGUGAUCAAGUAUACAUUUUCUUAGUGAUCUAAUAGGUCUUAUAUUUGUUUAGAGAGGGAGUAUGUUUCUAGAUAGCCGUCAAUUCAAAUGUUUCAUUUAUUUACUGUCUGAAUAUGAAGAAGAUAGGUUUGCAAUGUAGCUUUUUACAUGAUAAUGUAACAAACAUUUAUGUCUUAUAACUGCAAACAUUUUUUUAGUCCGUCACCGAGAAAAUGUUUGGGAGUUGGAAAUUAUUUGGAUACACAUGAUCUCAGCAAAGAAAGAUUCACACAUACUGCAACCAAAGGAGCUCCUUCACUCUCUAUGCACCUAGAGAAAUUAUCCUUAAUUACGAGCAGUACCCUAGAUUUAGUUGUGGUUCUAACAUAUUAGAGAUGUGGUUAGAAUACCUACUGCUUUGAACUAUUAAGUGGUUUGCACAAAUCACCGACUCCCUCGUGCAGUGUACAAUAUGAUAUUGAUCAUCAUAGGAUCAAACUUAAUACAGGAAGUACGCACUUAAUUGUUUCUGAACUAUACUACUUUGUAUGUUCAUUCUCCUUUCCUUUUAAAUCUCUAAUUUAGUUGCAAGUAUUUUAUUUGUUAUCAUUUGGCUUCUUAAUAAGAAAUUUAGCAAGCAACUACUCGACUGAUGAAAGAGAUGUUGACCAUUUUUGCUACAGUGAGGUGCAUUCUCGAUCAUGUUAAUAAUCUGUGAGUGCCUGGUUGAGUCUCGGAGAGAGAGAGAGAGAGAAAGAGAGAGAUCGUACCGGAUCCAAAGCAACAGGAGCCAAGCUGCGAGAAAUCCAUGAACGGUGGCUCAGAUCGUACACACAUAGUGCAGAUAUUAAUGUACCUAUAUAUAAAUAAUACUUUAACUAUCACUAAUUUUGUAGU
rnacentral:lncRNA from 1 species